UGAAUACGAGACGCUACGGCGUCGAAGCAGUCUAUGUCAUACUUCCAAGAAAAGCUCGCAAUGUCAUAAACAAAUAAUGCCUGUACCAUAACCGACACAGGUGGGUAGGUAGAGUAUACUAAGGGGCGCGAGAUAACUCUCUCUAGGGAACUCGGCAAAAUGACUCCGUAACUUCGGGAGAAGGAGUGCCUUAUUUAUAAGGUUGCAAUAACAAGAUCCAAGCAACUGUUUAUCAAAAACACAGGUCUCCGCUAAGUCGUAAGACGAUGUAUGGGGGCUGACGCCUGCCCAGUGCCAGAAGGUUAAAGAAGUUGGUUAGCAUUCGCGAAGCUGAUAACUGAAGCCCUGGUGAACGGCGGCCGUAACUAUAACGGUCCUAAGGUAGCGAAAUUCCUUGUCGGGUAAGUUCCGACCCGCACGAAAGGCGUAAUGAUUUGGAUACUGUCUCGGAGAGGGGCUCGGUGAAAUAGACUUGUCUGUGAAGAUGCGGACUACCUGCACCUGGACAGAAAGACCCUAUGAAGCUUUACUGUAACUUGAAAUUGAAAUUGGACUUUAUUUGCGCAGCAUAGGUGGGAGGCGUUGAGAGUAUUCUUGCGGGAAUAUUGGAGCCAUCAGUGAGAUACCACUCUUGUAAUGUUAGAUUUCUAACUUUGGAUCAUUAUCUGGUCAAAGAACAGUUUCAGGCGGGCAGUUUGACUGGGGCGGUCGCCUCCCAAAUGGUAACGGAGGCGUACAAAGGUUUCCUCUGAACGGGUAGAAAUCGUAUCUAGAGUGUAAAGGCAUAAGGAAGCUUGACUGUGAGACCUACAAGUCGAGCAGGGACGAAAGUCGGUCUUAGUGAUCUGGCGGUGCUGAGUGGAAAGGCCGUCACUCAACGGAUAAAAGUUACUCUAGGAUAACAGGCUGAUCUCCCCCAAGAGUUCACAUCGACGGGGAGGUUUGGCACCUCGAUGUCGGCUCAUCGCAUCCUGGGGCGGUAGUACGUCCCAAGGGUUGGGCUGUUCGCCCAUGAAAGCGGUACGCGAGCUGGGUUCAGAACGUCGUGAGACAGUUCGGUCCAUAUCCGGUGUAGGCGUUAGAAUAUUGAGAGGAGCCUUCUUUAGUACGAGAGGACCGAGAAGGACAUACCUCUGGUGUACCAGUUAUCGUGCCAACGGUAAACGCUGGGUAGCUAUGUAUGGAGAGGAUAACCGCUGAAAGCAUCUAAGUGGGAAGCCCACCUCAAGAUAAGUA
rnacentral:rRNA from 1 species